rnacentral:rRNA from 1 species
GAUGAACGCUGGCGGCGUGCCUAAUACAUGCAAGUCGAGCGAACAGACGAGGAGCUUGCUCCUCUGACGUUAGCGGCGGACGGGUGAGUAACACGUGGAUAACCUACCUAUAAGACUGGGAUAACUUCGGGAAACCGGAGCUAAUACCGGAUAAUAUAUUGAACCGCAUGGUUCAAUAGUGAAAGACGGUUUUGCUGUCACUUAUAGAUGGAUCCGCGCCGCAUUAGCUAGUUGGUAAGGUAACGGCUUACCAAGGCAACGAUGCGUAGCCGACCUGAGAGGGGGAGCGGCCACACUGGAACGGAGACACGGUCCAGACUGCUACGGGAGGCAGCAGUAGGGAAUCGUCCGCAAUGGGCGAAAGCCUGACGGAGCAACGCCGAGGGAGGGAUGAAGGUCUUCGGAUCGUAAAACUCGGUUAUUAGGGAAGAACAAAUGUGUAAGUAAAGAUGCACGUCUUGACGGUACCUAAUCAGAAAGCCACGGCGAACUACGUGC